AUUGAACGCUGGCGGAAUGCUUUACACAUGCAAGUCGAACGGCAGCACGGACUUCGGUCUGGUGGCGAGUGGCGAACGGGUGAGUAAUGUAUUGGAACGUGCCCAGUCGUGGGGGAUAACGUAGUGAAAAUUACGCUAAUAUCGCAUACGAUCUAUGGGUGAAAGCGGGGGAUCGCAAGACCUACCGCGAUUGGAGCGUCCGAUAUCAGAUAAGGUAGUGGGUGGGGUAAAGGCCCACCAAGCCAACGAUCUGUCGCUGGUCUGAGAGGACGACCAGCCACCCUGGAACUGAGAAACGGUCCAGACUCCUACGGGAGGCAGCAGUGGGGAAUUUUGGACAAUGGGGGCAACCCUGAUCCAGCAAUGCCGCGUGAGUGAAGAAGGCCUUCGGGUUGUAAAGCUCUUUUGUCAGGGAAGAAACAGCAGCUCUAACACAGUCAGCGAAUGACGGUACCUGAAGAAUAAGCACCGACUAACUACGUGCCAGCCGCCGCCGUAA
rnacentral:rRNA from 1 species